UUCCCCUCCUAUCUUCCCUAGAAUUUUCUUUUGUUUGAAACCGCAACCUCAGUUUUUUAAAAUUCCAUGAAUGAAAAACCAUGAAUAUUUUAGAAAACAUUCAGGUUAUAGAAGUGGCCACAUUUGUUGAUUUCUUAAAUAAAGCUGAAGUUCUCUGUCCGUUGCUAUAUGGUAAGCCCUAGGGCUCAAUUCAGAUAAGUGUACUGUGUUUCACUGCCAAAAAAAACAUCCGUUUUCUUCUACAGUCACCAUAAACCAACAACCCUAGAAAAACCUGCUUUGUUGUCCUGAAGGAGCUGUUAUUGUUCAGAAUAUUUUACAUGUGAAUUUCUGCUCCAGCUGGCUGGGGACCAUCAUGACAAGGGAAUGUGAUCAAGAAGACAAACACAUAGAUAUCAUGAAGAAAAGAAAACGGAAGAUACCAAUAUACUUUAUUCUGAGCCAAGGCAAAGUCCAUCUGACAACAGCAGAUUGGACAAUAACUGAAAAUGUAGUCUGUAAGGAAGCUUAAUAAUAAGAUAUACAUCUCUUUAUAUUUCACUAAAUGGCUAAAGAAUGCGGAAAACUUAUGUUUAUACAAAAACCAGCAGACUGACAUUUAUAGCAGCUUUAUCCAUAACUGUCAACAUUUGGAAGCAACCAAGAUGUCCUUUAGCAGGUGAAUUGAUAAAUAAAACUGUGGCACAUCCAGACAAGGGAAUAUUAUUCAGCACUAAAAAUAAAGGAGCUAUCAAGCCAGGAAAAAACAAGGAGGAAACUCACAUGCAUAUUGCUAAGUAAAAGAAGCCAGCCUGGAAAAGCUGCAUACUGUAUGAUUCCAACUCUGUGACAUUCUGGAAAAGUAAAACCCUGGAGGCAGUAAAGAGAUCAGUGGUUGCCAGAAGUUAGGAGGAAAGGAGGGAUGAAUAGGCAGGGCACAGAGGAUUUUUAGGGCAGUGAAACUACUCUGUGUGGUCCUGUAAUGGUGGUUUAAUGUCAUUAUGCAUUUGGCCACACCCAUAGAAUGUACACCACCAAGAGUGAACUCUAAUGUAAACUGUGGACUUUGGGUGAUAAUGAUGUGUCAGUGUGGGUUCAAUUGUAACAAAUGUGCCACUCUGGUGGGGGAUGGUGAUAAUGCGGAGCUGUGCACGUGGGGUGGGCAGGGGCAUGCGGGAAAUCUCUGUCCCUUCCUCUCAAUUUUGCAGUAAACUUUAAAGCUCUUAAAAAGUAAGUAUUUUUUAAACAAGAAAGAAACAAGGUGAACUAAAUGUACAGCUAGAUCUAACAUAAGGAAAUAAGAAUUGCUAUUAAUUUACAUAUAUUAACUAAUUAAUUGUGAACCUUUUUAAAAUACCAUUGUGAACUGUAAUGUAUUUUAUAUUCAAAUGAAUCCUCAGCCUUCUUCAUUGUAAAUAUUAGCUGAACAAAUGAGUAAAUAAAAAUCGACUUCAUAGAAAAUCAAGUGAGUCCGGUCAUAGCCAGAUAACAGUGUUUAACCCACAAAAGAUAUGCAAUUGUUCUUUAAAACAGUAAGAGGAUUAAUACAAAAUUAUUAAAGUUUAUAUUAAAGACAUAAAUGUAAUCUUUACAAAUAAUUUUCUUAUGGAUAAAUUAUGCUUACUGUAGUUAUUAGCCGGAACUUGCAAUAAUCUCCAUAUUAAGACAACCAAGACAACAAUUAGUUUGUUUUAAGGCACCUGCCAACUUAUAUACUAGAAAAUAAAAGUUUUCCAAGUGAAAAAACAGCUUUGCUCAGAAUUUAAAACACUCUACUGGAUAGCCUGCUUAACAGCACUAGGAAAACAAAAAUUCUAUGCAUCAAAAGAUGAAUGAAAAGAGAAACAAUAAACCAGGAUGAAGAUACAUACAAACCCAAUGGCUUCAUAUCUAGAAUACAUAAAGAACUCCCACAAAUCAAUAAGAAAAAGAGAAGCAGCCCAAUAGAAAAAUGGCAAAGUAUGUGAACACAGAAUCUAUGAAAGAGAAAAUUCAAAUACUCCAAAACAUUUUUAAAUAUGUUCAACCUCUGGCUGGGCACAGUGGCUCACGCCUAUAAUCCCAGCAAUUUGGGAGGCUAAGGCAAGUGGCUCUCUUGAGGCCAGCCUGGACAACAUGGCAAAACCCUGUCUCUGCUAAAAACACAAAAAUUAGCUGGGUGUGGUGGCACAUGCCUGUAAUCCCAGCUACUCAGGAGGCUGAGGCACAAGAAUCACUUAAGCAUGGGAGACCAAGGUUGCAGUGAGCUGAGAUCACACCACUGCACUCCAGCCUGGGCAACAGAGCAAGGCUUUGUCUCAAAAAAAAAAGUUUAACCUCAAAAUACUUACAGAGAUGCAAAUAAAACCAUUAGAUUUCAUACUUAUCAAAUUCAUUAAAGUUUUCCAAUUCUGGCAACACAUUAUUUUGGCAAGUAUAUGAAGUAACACAGCUGAUGGAACUAUAAACUUGUACAAUCGAUUUGGAGAAAAUUUGGGAAUAUAUAUAUAUAUAUAUAUAUCAGAUUUGAAACUACUCACAGCCUAUGACUCAGCAAUUCCAAACCUGAAGAAACUCCUGUCCACAUGCCCAAGAAGAUCUCUUUAAGAAUGUUCACAGCAUUAUUUAUUUCUAAAUAAUACAAAACUGAAAAUGUUACACAUGCUCCUUCAAGAAUAAAAUGUGUAAGCAAACUGUGAUGUAUUCAUAAAUAAAAAUAGUUAAAACAUGCAAA